UCCGAGAGGCCCUUAGACCACAUUGUUGU
rnacentral:piRNA from 1 species